UACGUAGGGUGCAAGCGUUAAUCGGAAUUACUGGGCGUAAAGCGUGCGCAGGCGGUUAUGGAAGACGGGGGUGAAAUCCCCGGGCUUAACCUGGGAACUGCAUUUGUGACUGCAUAGCUAGAGUACGGUAGAGGGGGAUGGAAUUCCGCGUGUAGCAGUGAAAUGCGUAGAUAUGCGGAGGAACACCGAUGGCGAAGGCAAUCCCCUGGACCUGUACUGACGCUCAUGCACGAAAGCGUGGGGAGCAAACAGG
rnacentral:rRNA from 1 species